UACGUAGGUGGCAAGCGUUGUCCGGAUUUACUGGGCGUAAAGGGCGUGCAGGCGGUCUGUUAAGUCUAGGGUGAAAGCUCCCGGCUCAACUGGGAGAGGUCCUUGGAUACUGGCGGACUUGAGGGAUGCAGAGGAAAGUGGAAUUCCCGGUGUAGUGGUGAUAUGCGUAGAUAUCGGGAGGAACACCAGUGGCGAAGGCGGCUUUCUGGGCAUUACCUGACGCUGAGACGCGAAAGCGUGGGGAGCGAACCGGAUUAGAAACCCCCGUAGUCC
rnacentral:rRNA from 1 species